rnacentral:rRNA from 1 species
ACGAACGCUGGCGGCUGCUUAACACAUGCAAGUCGAACGGAGUGGCGAACGGGUGAGUAACGCGUGAGCAACCUGCCUAUGACCGUGGGAUAGCCUCGGGAAACCGGGAUUAAUACCGCAUAGUCAUAGAUGGGCUCGAGUCUGAUUAGCUAGUUGGUGAGAUAACAGCCCACCAAGGCGACGAUCAGGAGCCGGUCUGGGAGGAUGAACGGCCACAUUGAAAGUGGGACACGGUCGAAACUCCUACGGAAGGCAGCAGUGGGGAAUAUUGCACAAUGGGGGAAACCCUGAUGCAGCGACGCCGCGUGAACGAAGAAAGUAUUCGUAUCGUAAAGUUCUGUCCUAGGGGAAGCAGUACCAUAGAAGAAAGCUCCGGCUAAAUACGUGCCAGCAGCCGCGGUAAUUC